UACACUCCUACGGGAGGCAGCAGUGGGGAAUAUUGGACAAUGGGCGCAAGCCUGAUCCAGCCAUGCCGCGUGAGUGAUGAAGGCCCUAGGGUUGUAAAGCUCUUUCACCGGUGAAGAUAAUGACGGUAACCGGAGAAGAAGCCCCGGCUAACUUCGUGCCAGCAGCCGCGGUAAUACGAAGGGGGCUAGCGUUGUUCGGAUUUACUGGGCGUAAAGCGCACGUAGGCGGACUAUUAAGUCAGGGGUGAAAUCCCGGGGCUCAACCCCGGAACUGCCUUUGAUACUGGUAGUCUUGAGUUCGAGAGAGGUGAGUGGAAUUCCGAAUGUAGAGGUGAAAUUCGUAGAUAUUCGGAGGAACACCAGUGGCGAAGGCGGCUCACUGGCUCGAUACUGACGCUGAGGUGCGAAAGCGUGGGGAGCAAACAGGAUUAGAAACCCGAGUAGUCCCAUGAU
rnacentral:rRNA from 1 species